rnacentral:rRNA from 1 species
UACGUAGGGUGCGAGCGUUGUCCGGAAUUAUUGGGCGUAAAGGGCGCGUAGGCGGCCAUUCAAGUGACGGGUGAAAGCCCUCGGCUUAACCGAGGAACUGCCUGUCAGACUGGAUGGCUUGAGACCGGGAGAGGUGAGUGGAAUUCCCAGUGUAGCGGUGAAAUGCGUAGAUAUUGGGAGGAACACCAGUGGCGAAGGCGGCGAUCUGGGAAGAUACUGACGCUGAGGUGCGAAAGCGUGGGGAGCAAACAGG